GCUCUUGGAGAUGGCCAAGAUAACACUUUUGGACUGGAAAACCGAGCCAAGGUUCUUCAAAAAUUUUUGCCUGUGAAAAGCUUGUCUUUAAUAUUUAUUUUAGUGGAAGAAUUUCUUAGGUUUGAGUGUUUGUAGCUUGAAGCACGGUUAAGGAUUCUUGAAGGGAGAGAAUUGAGUCGUGCUGCUGGAUCUGCUAAAGGCAAACCAAAGAUAGAAGCUUAUGACAAGGAUCGAAAGAAGGGAGCUGGAGGAUUGAUAACUCCUGCCAAUGUCCAUCUUUGGUCUCAUGUAUUGUUUCUAGUUUUCUCUCACAUUUUUAUUCAGGUAAUUAUCUACUCUCUUUUGCUUUGUGCAGUCUUAUAAUCCUUCUGCGGAUGCUGUUCUUGGGCAAACAUCAAACGCUAGUGCUGGGAAUGGGGAAGAAAUUGUCCCAAAGAAGAGAAAGACUGAGGCAGAACCUUCUCUUACUGGGGGAAUGGCAGAAGAGGCUCCAGUUACUGGUGAGCAGAAGAAAGAGAAGAAGAAGAAAAAGAAAAAAACUGAUGAAGAGGAAACUGCUGUGCCAAAUGAUGGAAAUGACACUACUGAGCAGGAAGGCGGAGGGAAAGCAAAGAAAGAUAAGAAGAAAAAAAAGCAUAAAGCACAAAGCAAUGAAGUGCAAAAUGAGUCCGAAAAUGCUGAUGCAGGAGAAAAGAAGAAAAAGAAGCGAAAGCAUGCUGAGCAAGAUGAAGAACCUGAAAUGCCAAGCAAGAAGAAAGAGAAAAAAAAGAGAAAAAGCGAUGAUUGAGAAAAUCUGGAAAGUGGAGGAUACAGGCCACCUAGCAAUUUUGGAGAAGAAAUUAGACAACCAGCUAGCAACCGCAUAAUUUUCUUUAGGUUUUGGUUUGCUAGCAUAUUUCUUUCCAGUGUAUUUUAUGAUUUCCUAUACAGGUGACAAUGAGAUGUUCUGUUGGACAUAUUUUGAAAAUUAUAUUUGGAAUUCACUUAUGUGUUAGUCUGCAGUUAUUUAUUCAAAAGAUUAAGUAGGUACAUAAAUAAAAUCUGAUAUAUUUUUGACAUUUCGUAAUUUGAUUAUGAAGUUAAUUUAUAGAUAAUUAUACGAAUUAAGCUAAAACAGGUAUAAUUUUUUUUAGUUAACCAUCUGGAUUAUUCGUAUGUAUUAGGAUAAUGUAAAUUUACAGAAAUGUUCAUGUUAAAAAGAAAAGCUUGUAACAUAUGUUUUCACCUGCUAAAACCUUUGCUAUUCCUAUAUCCAUUUUUUUAAUUUGCUUUAAUGUUUACUUUAUCAAGCUUAUAGAGGAAAAAAGAUUAAUGAUUUGAAGAUUAAAGAGGAAAAGAAUAAGCUUUGUUGUGCAGUCUAAU
rnacentral:misc_RNA from 1 species